AACGAACGCUGGCGGCAGGCCAAACACAUGCAAGUCGAACGGACCCUUCGGGGUUAGUGGCGCACGGGUGCGGAACACGUGGGAAUGUACCCUCUGGUAAGGAAUAAUGUCUGGAAACGGACACUAAUACCUUAUAAUGACUUCGGUCCAAAGAUUUAUCGCCAGAGGAUCAGCCCGCGCAUGAUUAGUUUGUUGGUGAGGUAAUGGCUCACCAAGACGACGAUCAUUAGCUGGUCUGAGAGGACGAUCAGCCACACUGGUACUGAGACACGGACCAG
rnacentral:rRNA from 1 species